GGGAGUGACGACGCUGGUGUGUCACCCGACUGUAAAUCCGGUGCGGAAACGCAUGGCAGGUUCGAUCCCUGCCACUCCCA
rnacentral:tRNA from 1 species